GGACUGCAGCUCAGUGGUAGAGCACUUGCCUAGCACGUAUGAAGCCCUGGGUUCCAUCCUCAGCACCA
rnacentral:tRNA from 1 species